rnacentral:rRNA from 1 species
AGAUAGAAAGUUACUUCGGUACAUCGGUGACAGGUGGUGCAUGGUUGUCGUCAGCUCGUGUCGUGAGAUGUUGGGUUAAGUCCCGCAACGAGCGCAACCCCUAUUGUUAGUUGCCAUCAUUCAGUUGGGCACUCUAGCGAGACUGCCGGUAAUAAACCGGAGGAAGGUGGGGAUGACGUCAAACCAUCAUGCCCCUUAUGACCUGGGCUACACACGUGCUACAAUGGUUGGUACAACGAGUUGCGAGUCGGUGACGGCGAGCUAAUCUCUUAAAGCCAAUCUCAGUUCGGAUUGUAGGCUGCAACUCGCCUACAUGAAGUCGGAAUCGCUAGUAAUCGCGGAUCAGCACGCCGCGGUGAAUACGUUCCCGGGCCUU